rnacentral:misc_RNA from 1 species
GAUGAAGAACGUAGCGAAAUGCGAUAAGUAAUGUGAAUUGCAGAAUUUAGUGAAUCAUCGAAUCUUUGAACGCACAUUGCGCCCUGUGGUAUUCCGCAGGGCAUGCCUGUUCGAGCGUCAUUUCAACCCUCAAGCCCCGCUUGGUGUUGGGCCCCGCCCGCCGUGGCCGGCCCUAAAGACAGUGGCGGCGCCGCCUGGCCCUCAGCGUAGUACAGCUCUCGCUCCAGGGUCCGGCGGCCGCCUGCCAGAACCCCCCCAACUCUGUGGUUGACCUCGGAUCAGGUAGGGAUACCCGCUGAACUUAAGCAUAUCAAUAAGCGGAGGA